AGAGGAGGAAAAAUUCACUAUAGUAAAUUGAAUGAUGAUUACAAAGAUUAUUGGAUGAUCUUCAGAGAAGUAAUUACUCCUAAUAUAUCAAUACAAAUAAGAGUCUAACUUAUGGUGAAGUCCUAAUAUAACAGCCUGACAAAUAAUAGUGUUUGAGGUUGUUUAGGAGUGCAAAAUCUGUCAAAAUCCCAAAUAGAGUUUGCAUCAGAUAGCACUCCAUCCACUGCUUGAUCGCUUGGCCUUCGGUGGUGUUACUACAAUUUCCGCUUGAUUCCCACCUGUGCGGUUGGUGAGCAAUCUUCAUGCGAUAUGUUUUUCUCCUUAUCCGUCUUUGACUCCUUCAAGACUUAUUCAAGGCAACCUAUUAACUCCCAAUAAAACUCCCAAUAUAAUUCAGAUCACACUCGAACUCUAACAUUUCUUCUGUCAAUUAAUAGCUAUUAGUGAGAAGUAGAGAAUAAAUUAAAGUAAUGAAAUCAGGGACGCAUAAAGGGGGAAUGGGUUCGGC
rnacentral:lncRNA from 1 species